ACCAGCAGCUAUAUCACUCUGCAACUCCCAGCUGGCAGCCUGACUGAAGCUCAGCAGGUGUGAGCCUGGUCAGUACCUGGAUGGGAGACCUCCUGGGAAAAACUAAGGUUGUUGCUGGAA
rnacentral:rRNA from 1 species